rnacentral:rRNA from 1 species
AGAGUUUGAUCCUGGCUCAGGAUGAACGCUGGCGGCGUGCUUAACACAUGCAAGUCGAGCGAAGCACUUAAGUCUGAUUCUUCGGAUGAAGACUUUUGUGACUGAGCGGCGGACGGGUGAGUAACGCGUGGGUAACCUGCCUCAUACAGGGGGAUAACAGUUAGAAAUGACUGCUAAUACCGCAUAAGACCACGGUGCCGCAUGGUACAGUGGUAAAAACUCCGGUGGUAUGGGAUGGGCCCGCGUCUGAUUAGGCAGUUGGCGGGGUAACGGCCCACCAAACCGACGAUCAGUAGCCGGCCUGAGAGGGCGACCGGCCACAUUGGGACUGAGACACGGCCCAAACUCCUACGGGAGGCAGCAGUGGGGAAUAUUGCACAAUGGGGGAAACCCUGAUGCAGCGACGCCGCGUGAGCGAAGAAGUAUUUCGGUAUGUAAAGCUCUAUCAGCAGGGAAGAUAAUGACGGUACCUGACUAAGAAGCCCCGGCUAACUACGUGCCAGCAGCCGCGGUAAUACGUAGGGGGCAAGCGUUAUCCGGAUUUACUGGGUGUAAAGGGAGCGUAGACGGCAAGGCAAGUCUGAUGUGAAAACCCAGGGCUUAACCCUGGGACUGCAUUGGAAACUGUCUGGCUCGAGUGCCGGAAAGGUAAGCGGAAUUCCUAGUGUAGCGGUGAAAUGCGUAGAUAUUAGGAAGAACACCAGUGGCGAAGGCGGCUUACUGGACGGUAACUGACGUUGAGGCUCGAAAGCGUGGGGAGCAAAUCAGGAUUAGAUACCCUGGUAGUCCACGCCGUAAACG